rnacentral:rRNA from 1 species
UACGGAGGGAGCUAGCGUUGUUCGGAUCUACUGGGCGUAAAGCGCACGUAGGCGGCGCCGUAAGUCAGGGGUGAAAUCCCGGAGCUCAACUCCGGAACUGCCUUUGAAACUGCGGUGCUAGAAUCCUGGAGAGGCGAGUGGAAUUCCGAGUGUAGAGGUGAAAUUCGUAGAUAUUCGGAAGAACACCAGUGGCGAAGGCGGCUCGCUGGACAGGUAUUGACGCUGAGGUGCGAAAGCGUGGGGAGCAAACAGG